rnacentral:rRNA from 1 species
GAUGAACGCUGGCGGCGUGCCUAAUACAUGCAAGUCGAGCGAACAGACGAGGAGCUUGCUCCUCAGACGUUAGCGGCGGACGGGUGAGUAACACGUGGAUAACCUACCUAUAAGACUGGGAUAACUUCGGGAAACCGGGACUAAUACCGGAUAAUAUAUUGAACCGCAUGGUUCAAUAGUGAAAGACGGUUUUGCUGUCACUUAUAGAUGGAUCCGCGCCGCAUUAGCUAGUUGGUAAGGUAACGGCUUACCAAGGCAACGAUGCGUAGCCGACCUGGGAGGGUGAUCGGCAACACUGGAACUGGGAACCGGUCCAGACUCCUACGGGAGGAGGCAGUAGGGAAUCUUCCGCAAUGGGCGAAAGCCUACCGGAGCACCGCCGCGUAAGUGAUGAAGGUCUUCGAAUCGUAAAACUCUGUUAUUAGGGAAGAACAAAUGUGUAAGUAACUAUGCACGUCUUGACGGUACCUUAUCAGAAAGGCACGGCUAACUACGUG